rnacentral:lncRNA from 10 species
AUAUAUAUAGAUAUAUAUAUAUACACACACACACACACACACACACAUAUAUAUUUAUAUAUAUAUACACACAUACAUAUAUAUAUAUAAAAUCAGAAAUCCAAAUUUAUUUUUCCUACAAGUAUCUUUUGAAUAAAUAAAUUUGGAUUUCUUUCCCUUUAAUGUAGGCAGGGGAAAUGUCAUUAUCAAAGGUAAAAUAGCCUAAAUUAGGCAAGUAAUUACUCAUUCUGAAUCUGUUCUUGAUUGUCAGCAUACAUUUUUGGCAGAUGUUACCUUCACUUGGAUCCAUGAUUGGCACAGUGUCAUGUAGACUAAAGAUAGCUGCCUUUGUCUGUUUCAGCAACUAAAGAACUCAAGAACCCACAAGAGACUGCAGAGAGGGUCGGGCUCGCAGCACUCAUUAUUCAGGACUUCAAAGGUUUACUCUUAUCUGACUACAAGUUCAGCUGGGAUCGUGUUUUCCAGAGUCGCGGGGACACAGGAGUCUUCCUACAGUACACACACGCCCGCCUCCACAGGUGAGAAGAGGCUGCAGGGAAACCUUGUGCUGCACUGUGCUUACUUAGGCUAGGUCCUGUGAUUCUAAGACCAGAGGCCCUGUUUUCUGGGCUUUUCCAAUAUCUUCUAUUCACAUCUGACUAGAGUAGACCUUCUUUUAGGAAAAAAAAAAAA